rnacentral:misc_RNA from 1 species
AACAUCGCGCACCUGCGGGAACCUGCGGAAGGAUCAUUACUGAGUCACGUGCCCAAACAACCCUUCUGUGGACCUGAAAUAAAACCGUUGCCUCGGCGGGCGGUCCCCCCCAAACCAACCCCACGUGGUGGGUUAGGGGAGACCAGACAGUCCGGUACGCUUAAGGCGUCCGGCGCCAGCCGCUGGCCCCAAACAAUUAAACUCUAGUAAUCUUUACCUUCUGAGUUUCAAUAUUUAAAA